rnacentral:rRNA from 1 species
UCUGCUAUCACUCUUGGAUGGACCUGCGGUGCAUUAGCUAGUUGGUAAGGUAACGGCUUACCAAGGCAAUGAUGCAUAGCCGAGUUGAGAGACUGAUCGGCCACAUUGGGACUGAGACACGGCCCAAACUCCUACGGGAGGCAGCAGUAGGGAAUCUUCCACAAUGGACGAAAGUCUGAUGGAGCAACGCCGCGUGAGUGAAGAAGGGUUUCGGCUCGUAAAGCUCUGUUGGUAGUGAAGAAAGAUAGAGGUAGUAACUGGCCUUUAUUUGACGGUAAUUACUUAGAAAGUCACGGCUAACUACGUGCCAGCAGCCGCGGUAAUACGUAGGUGGCAAGCGUUGUCCGGAUUUAUUGGGCGUAAAGCGAGUGCAGGCGGUUCAAUAAGUCUGAUGUGAAAGCCUUCGGCUCAACCGGAGAAUUGCAUCAGAAACUGUUGAACUUGAGUGCAGAAGAGGAGAGUGGAACUCCAUGUGUAGCGGUGGAAUGCGUAGAUAUAUGGAAGAACACCAGUGGCGAAGGCGGCUCUCUGGUCUGCAACUGACGCUGAGGCUCGAAAGCAUGGGUAGCGAACAGGAUUAGAUACCCUGGUAGUCCAUGCCGUAAACGAUGAGUGCUAAGUGUUGGGAGGUUUCCGCCUCUCAGUGCUGCAGCUAACGCA